GGGGAAGUGGUGGAAUGGCAGACACGCUAGUCUUAGGAACUAGUGCCGAAAGGCGUAGGGGUUCAACUCCCCUCUUCCCCA
rnacentral:tRNA from 1 species